rnacentral:rRNA from 1 species
GUGGAGGCCCGAACCCACUUAGGUUGAAGACUGAGGGGAUGAGUUGUGGGUAGGGGUGAAAGGCCAAUCAAACUCCGUGAUAGCUGGUUCUCCCCGAAAUGCAUUUAGGUGCAGCGUUGCGUGUUUCUCACUGGAGGUAGAGCUACUGGAUGGCCGAUGGGCCCUACUAGGUUACUGACGUCAGCCAAACUCCGAAUGCCGGUGAGUGUAAGCGUGGCAGUGAGACGGCGGGGGAUAAGCUCCGUGCGUCGAGAGGGAAACAGCCCAGAUCGCCGGCUAAGGCCCCUAAGCGUGUGCUAAGUGGAAAAGGAUGUGCAGUCGCGAAGACAACCAGGAGGUUGGCUUAGAAGCAGCCACCCUUGAAAGAGUGCGUAAUAGCUCACUGGUCAAGUGAUUGUGCGCCGAUAAUGUAGCGGGGCUCAAGCACACCGCCGAAGCCGCGGCAAUACGUAAGUAUUGGGUAGGGGAGCGUCCUGCAUCCGGUGAAGCCACAGAGUGAUCUAGUGGUGGAGGGUGUGGGAGUGAGAAUGCAGGCAUGAGUAGCGAUGAGGCAAGUGAGAACCUUGCCCGCCGAAAGACCAAGGGUUCCUGGGCCAGGCCAGUCCUCCCAGGGUGAGUCGGGACCUAAGGCGAGGCCGACAGGCGUAGUCGAUGGACAACGGGUUGAUAUUCCCGUACCCGUGUGUGGGCGCCCAUGAUGAAUCAGUGGUACUAACCACCCAAAAGGUGGUCGAUCAAUCCUUUCGGGGAGCGACGACUGCUGGCUGCGUGGGACCUUCGCUGGUAGUAGUCAAGCGAUGGGGUGACGCAGGAAGGUAGCCAUACCAGUCAGUGGUAAUACUGGGGUAAGCCCGUAGGAAGUCAGAUAGGCAAAUCCGUCUGGCAUAUAUUCCGAGAGGUGAUGCAUAGCCGUUUGCGGCGAAUUUGGUGAUCCUAUGCUGCCGAGAAAAGCCUCUAGCGAGCACACACACGGCCCGUACCCCAAACCAACACAGGUGGUCAGGUAGAGAAUACCAAGGCGUACGAGUGAACUAUGGUUAAGGAACUCGGCAAAAUACCCCCGUAACUUCGGGAGAAGGGGGACCCUCAUACCGUCAUGGCCUUCGCGGCCGGCAGCGGGAGGGGGUCGCAGAAACCAGUGAGAAGCGACUGUUUACUAAAAACACAGGUCCGUGCGAAGUCGCAAGACGAUGUAUACGGACUGACGCCUGCCCGGUGCUGGAAGGUUAAGAGGACCCGUUAACCCUUGGGUGAAGCGGAGAAUUUAAGCCCCAGUAAACGGCGGUGGUAACUAUAACCAUCCUAAGGUAGCGAAAUUCCUUGUCGGGUAAGUUCCGACCUGCACGAAUGGCGUAACGACUUCUC